AAGUCGUAACAAGGUAACCGUAGGUGAACCUGCGGUUGGAUCAUUAAAAAAUUUUAAAUAAGGUGGUUUUUUUUUUUAAAAUUCCACUUUAUAACAUUUUUGUGCACUGUAAUUGAUUAUCUAGUGGGGGGACAUUAUAAAUAGGCUGAAGAAAAAAAUUUUUGAAGGGUUUUUUUUUUUAAAAAAGGCACUUUAAAAAUUUAUUUUAGGCUGGAGUAUUAUUUAAAUUUAGGCUGGCCUCCAGCGUAAAAUUUUAAUAUAAUACUUUACCCACUAGAAAAAAUAUCUUUAAAAUUUUUAUUUUUUUUAGCCUUUAGAUUAAUAAAAAAAAAGUUUAACUUAAAAAAAUAACUUUUGACAACGGAUCUCUAGGCUCUC
rnacentral:misc_RNA from 1 species